rnacentral:tRNA from 1 species
GCUGGAAUGGUCUAGUUGGUUAUGACGACUGCCUCACACGCAGUAGGUCCCGAGUUCGACUCUCGGUUCCAGUA